rnacentral:rRNA from 1 species
AGUGAACGCUGGCGGUAGACCUAACACAUGCAAGUCGAACGGCAGCACAGUAAGAGCUUGCUCUUACGGGUGGCGAGUGGCGGACGGGUGAGGAAUACAUCGGAAUCUACUUUUUCGUGGGGGAUAACGUAGGGAAACUUACGCUAAUACCGCAUACGACCUACGGGUGAAAGCAGGGGACCUUCGGACCUUGCGCGAUUGAAUGAGCCGAUGUCGGAUUAGCUAGUUGGCGGGGUAAAGGCCCACCAAGGCGACGAUCCGUAGCUGGUCUGAGAGGAUGAUCAGCCACACUGGAACUGAGACACGGUCCAGACUCCUACGGGAGGCAGCAGUGGGGAAUAUUGGACAAUGGGCGCAAGCCUGAUCCAGCCAUACCGCGUGGGUGAAGAAGGCCUUCGGGUUGUAAAGCCCUUUUGUUGGGAAAGAAAAGCAGCAGGUUAAUACCCCGCUGUUCUGACGGUACCCAAAGAAUAAGCACCGGCUAACUUCGUG